rnacentral:sRNA from 1 species
UCCGGCUGAUCUGUGGGGAUUCGGGUUCGGGGUUUCCUGGUGGGCGUCAGGGGCAGGCAACAGAGUGGCGGCCGCUACGGCCCUGGAACUGGGCCAUGGAGAAGCUGCGGCGAGUCCUGAGCGGCCAGGACGACGAGGAGCAGGGCCUGACCGCGCAGGAUUCACAGAUUAAUCUCUUGAGGUCCUGGAUGCCUCAUCCCUUAGUUUCAACACCAGAUUGAAAUGGUUUGCCAUCUGCUUCGUAUGUGGCAUUUUCUUUUCUAUUCUUGGAACUGGAUUGCUGUGGCUUCCGGGCGGCAUAAAGCUUUUUGCAGUGUUUUAUACCCUCGGCAAUCUUGCUGCAUUAGCCAGUACAUGCUUUUUAAUGGGACCUGUGAAGCAACUGAAGAAAAUGUUUGAAACAACAAGAUUGCUUGCAACAAUUAUUAUGCUCUUGUGUUUCAUAUUUACCCUGUGUGCUGCUCUUUGGUGGCAUAAGAAGGGACUGGCUGUGUUAUUCUGCAUAUUGCAGUUCUUGUCAAUGACCUGGUAUAGCCUGUCGUACAUCCCAUAUGCAAGGGAUGCAGUUAUUAAAUGCUGUUCUUCUCUCCUAAGUUGAAAAUCAGAAACUCGUGGAAAAGAGCACUUGAAUGUUGAUACUCUAUGUUUGGUGAAGUUUG